CCAGUAGGGGGCGUUAUAUUCAUCCUGGCUGUACUAUUGUGGUUCUUCUGCUAGGCAAUCAUAUUUAUCUAUCCUUCCCAACAGUACCAUAUAAAAGAUAGCACCAGCCCUGGGCGAGGGGGAUAAGAAGAAGACGGGAGACAGAGAGGAUGUCAGGGUGUAUGUGUGCCUCUGCCUGAGCUGCUGAGCAAAUCACAGCAGCCCGAGAAGAAAAUCUUUUAGAUAACAUGCAAUAAACUACCUGGAGACCGGACGACUGAAGACUACUGAGCUUUUCUUUGAAAGCACGGGUUGGAGGAGGGACUAUUCCACCAUACGGAGCCACCCCCGACCUAGGGGUGAGCUCUGGCAUGGUGGGAGAAACUAGGAAAUUCCAUGGCUUUUUAAAUCCAUUAAAUCAGCUCUCCCAUAUCCACCCAGGCUCGUGGCUUCCUAAAGCAGAAGCUGUGUCUUUGGCAGGAUGGGGGCAGGGGUGGGCAGCACAGAGCGUGGUCAUGCUGUGAGGUUUUCUGACACUACAACACUCCCAUUCCCUCUAAGAAACUUCCCUUUCAGGGACUAAAAUGGAAUAAAAGGUGUAAAAUAAAUAUAAAUCCAAGAGGGGGAAUAGUCUGCAAAAAAACCCAGCUCCACAUGGGCCUGGAUGCUGAUCCCUAUUACUGGUCAGUGAGAGCAUCUGACAGCUGUUUCUGUAUUCCUGACUUCCAUUUACAUUGGAGACAUGUGGCUUGGAGCACAGGAGCCGGAUAUGUUACUUACCUAUGUCAGAUUGGUCUGCACUAGUGCAGAUUAUGAGUUACAGGGUGACUCAGAGACUCAGAAACAAGGGGAAGAACUGUUAUGUCUCUUUGCAAAAAAAUUGGCUCCAUCAGGGCAUUAAUUCAGGGGACUAACACUUCACCUUUAAUGUUUUUCUGUGCUCCAUCCUCAUCACCAUGAGCUGUGAGAGCCUCCUGAGCUGUUCUCAUAUAGACCUACCUUGUUUGGUAAAAAAUUUCAGUAUUUUAUUAUUGGGUGCAAACUCGGGGGAAGUUUUGAUUCAAUAUCUCUCAGUGGGACAUUAAAGCUCCAAUUUCCCUUUUGCUGAACAGUUUGAGAGACAAUAUGUAAUUUUUAUUACAGGCAUUUUUAUCUUUUUGAAGAACCAAAAAGACUGUUUGUGCAUGUGUCUCAGCAGCAGCCCCAGCACAGGCAGGCAGGUUUGGAAUUUUCUUUGCUAUGCUGCAGGCGUAUUCAAGACAUUGUUCCUCUUUGUUUGACA